rnacentral:rRNA from 1 species
AGUCUCGUUGGUGACCAGCGGAGGGAUCAUUAUUAGAGCCUAAAAACUCACCUAAACCAUUGUGAAUUUACCUAUCUGUUGCUUCGGUGGGUGGCCCUUCCGGGGGUCCUCUAGGCCGCAAGGCGCCCGCCGGAGGUUAUUUUAAACACUAUGUCUUCUAUUGUACCUCUGAAUAAGAACCAAAAACAAUCAAAACUUUCAACAACGGAUCUCUUGGCUCUAGCAUCGAUGAAGAACGCAGCGAAAUGCGAUAAGUAAUGCGAAUUGCAGAAUUCCGCGAGUCAUCGAAUCUUUGAACGCACAUUGCGCCUGCCAGUAUUCUGGCAGGCAUGCCUGUCCGAGCGUCAUUUCAACCCCCAGGCCUUCGUUGCCUGUUGUUGGGGCAUUCAGGGUGGUCCGACGGACCCCCUGAGCCCUGAAAAUCAGUGGCGGGCCUGCCAGGUCACCGAGCGCAGUGAUCUCUCUCGCUCAGGGGCCCUGGCGGGUGCUAGCCGUGAAAACGCACACCUACGAACAGUGGUUUGACCUCGGAUCAGGUAGGAAUACCCGCUGAACUUAAGCAUAUCAAUAAGCGGAGGA